UACAGAGGGGGCAAGCGUUGUUCGGAACUACUGGGCGUAAAGGGCGCGUAGGCGGCCCGCUAAGUCGAACGUGAAAUCCCCGGGCUCAACCCGGGAACUGCGUCCGAUACUGGCAGGCUUGAAUCCGGGAGAGGGAUGCGGAAUUCCAGGUGUAGCGGUGAAAUGCGUAGAUAUCUGGAGGAACACCGGUGGCGAAGGCGGCAUCCUGGACCGGCAUUGACGCUGAGGCGCGAAAGCCAGGGGAGCAAACGGG
rnacentral:rRNA from 1 species